rnacentral:rRNA from 1 species
ACCAGACUCCUACGGGAGGCAGCAGUGGGGAAUAUUGCACAAUGGGGGAAACCCUGAUGCAGCAACGCCGCGUGAGUGAAGAAGUAUUUCGGUAUGUAAAGCUCUCUCAGCAGGGAAGAAGAAGGACGGUACCUGACUAAGAAGCCCCGGCUAACUACGUGCCAGCAGCCGCGGUAAUACGUAGGGGGCGAGCGUUAUCCGGAUUUACUGGGUGUAAAGGGAGCGUAGACGGUUAAUCAAGUCUGAAGUGAAAGCCCGCGGCUCAACUGCGGAACGGCUUUGGAAACUGAGUAACUGGAGUGCUGGAGGGGCAGGCGGAAUUCCUGGUGUAGCGGUGAAAUGCGUAGAUAUCAGGAGGAACACCGGUGGCGAAGGCGGCCUGCUGGACAGUAACUGACGUUGAGGCUCGAAAGCGUGGGGAGCAAACAGGAUUAGAUACCCUGGUA